rnacentral:rRNA from 1 species
UACAGGGGGGGCAAGCGUUGUUCGGAAUUACUGGGCGUAAAGGGCUCGUAGGCGGCCAACUAAGUCCGACGUGAAAUCCCCAGGCUUAACCUGGGAACUGCGUCGGAUACUGGAUGGCUUGAAUUCGGGAGAGGGAUGCAGAAUUCCAGGUGUAGCGGUGAAAUGCGUAGAUAUCUGGAGGAAUACCGGUGGCGAAGGCGGCAUCCUGGACCGACAUUGACGCUGAUGAGCGAAAGCUAGGGGAGCAAACGGGG